AGUGAACGCUGGCGGUAGGCCUAACACAUGCGAGUCGAACGGCAGCACAGUAAGAGCUUGCUCUUACGGGUGGCGAGUGGCGGACGGGUGAGGAAUACAUCGGAAUCUACUUUUUCGUGGGGGAUAACGUAGGGAAACUUACGCUAAUACCGCAUACGACCUACGGGUGAAAGCAGGGGAUCUUCGGACCUUGCGCGAUUGAAUGAGCCGAUGUCGGAUUAGCUAGUUGGCGGGGUAAAGGCCCACCAGGGCGACGAUCCGUAGCUGGUCUGAGAGGAUGAUCAGCCACACUGGAACUGAGACACGGUCCAGACUCCUACGGGAGGCAGCAGUGGGGAAUAUUGGACAAUGGGCGCAAGCCUGAUCCAGCCAUACCGCGUGGGUGAAGAAGGCCUUCGGGUUGUAAAGCCCUUUUGUUGGGAAAGAAAAGCAGCAGGUUAAUACCCCGCUGUUCUGACGGUACCCAAAGAAUAAGCACCGGCUAACUUCGUG
rnacentral:rRNA from 1 species